rnacentral:rRNA from 1 species
UUCGGGGGACGAGGGUGACAGGUGGUGGCAUGGUUGUCGUCAGCUCGUGUCGUGAGAUGUUGGGUUAAGUCCCGCAACGAGCGCAACCCUCGACCUUAGUUGCCAGCAUUCAGUUGGGCACUCUAAGGUGACUGCCGGCUAAAAGUCGGAGGAAGGUGGGGGAUGACGUCAAAUCAUCAUGCCCCUUAUGACCUGGGCUACACACGUGCUACAAUGGGCGGUACAAAGGGUCGCGAACCCGCGAGGGGGAGCCAAUCCCAAAAAGCCGCUCUCAGUUCGGAUUGCAGGCUGCAACUCGCCUGCAUGAAGCCGGAAUCGCUAGUAAUCGCGGAUCAGCAUGCCGCGGUGAAUACGUUCCCGGGCCUU